GGCCAAUCACUUACCAUUUCUCAUAACAGCAUCAGAGGGAAGGAGCUGAGAGAAAAGGUUGAGGAUAUUUCUGAACAAGAUGAAAGCUUUCAUUCUGAUCACAGCCAUCUUGGCAGUCACUGUUGCUUUCCCGGUCACUCCAGACCAGGAACGAGACAAACGAAGUAUCAGUGACAGCGAUGAAUCAUCUUUACAGAUUUUUGUGCCCCCACGAAAUCCAUUUGGCCAGUACCCUCCAUUCCUAUAUCCUCCAGGUUUUUGGUAUAGAUAUUUUGGUUUUCCUUUUCCAAUACCUGCAUCUGCCUCUGCAGA